rnacentral:rRNA from 1 species
GACGUAGGGCGCGAGCGUUGUCCGGAUUUAUUGGGCGUAAAGAGCUCGUAGGCGGCUUGUUGCGUCGACCGUGAAAACCCGGGGCUCAACUUCGGGCUUGCGGUCGAUACGGGCGGGCUAGAGUUCGGUAGGGGAGACUGGAAUUCCUGGUGUAGCGGUGAAAUGCGCAGAUAUCAGGAGGAACACCAGCGGCGAAGGCGGCGCUCUGGGCCGGAACUGACGCUGAGGAGCGAAAGCGUGGGUAGCAAACAGG